GAUGAACGCUGGCGGCGUGCUUAACACAUGCAAGUCGAACGGGAAACCUUUUAUUGCAGCUUCGGCAGAUUUAGCUGGUUUCUAGUGGCGGACGGGUGAGUAACGCGUGGGUAACCUGCCUUAUACAGGGGGAUAACAGUCAGAAAUGGCUGCUAAUACCGCAUAAGCGCACAGAGCUGCAUGGCUCAGUGUGAAAAACUCCGGUGGUAUAAGAUGGACCCGCGUUGGAUUAGCUGGUUGGUGGGGUAACGGCCCACCAAGGCGACGAUCCAUAGCCGGCCUGAGAGGGUGAACGGCCACAUUGGGACUGAGACACGGCCCAGACUCCUACGGGAGGCAGCAGUGGGGAAUAUUGCACAAUGGGGGAAACCCUGAUGCAGCGACGCCGCGUGAAGGAAGAAGUAUCUCGGUAUGUAAACUUCUAUCAGCAGGGAAGAUAAUGACGGUACCUGACGAAGAAGCCCCGGCUAACUACAUG
rnacentral:rRNA from 1 species